AGAAUAGUCUGUCUGUCUUGAUGCGACAGAAAGGGGGUCCCCCUAUUCCA
rnacentral:tRNA from 1 species